GAUGAACGCUGGCGGCGUGCCUAAUACAUGCAAGUCGAGCGAACGGACGAGAAGCUUGCUUCUCUGAUGUUAGCGGCGGACGGGUGAGUAACACGUGGAUAACCUACCUAUAAGACUGGGAUAUCUUCGGGAAACCUUAGCUAAUACCGGAUAAUAUUUUGAACCGCAUGGUUCAAAAGUGAAAGACGGUCUUGCUGUCACUUAUAGAUGGAUCCGCGCUGCAUUAGCUAGUUGGUAAGGUAACGGCUUACCAAGGCAACGAUGCAUAGCCGACCUGAGAGGGUGAUCGGCCACACUGGAACUGAGACACGGUCCAGACUCCUACGGGAGGCAGCAGUAGGGAAUCUUCCGCAAUGGGCGAAAGCCUGACGGAGCAACGCCGCGUGAGUGAUGAAGGUCUUCGGAUCGUAAAACUCUGUUAUUAGGUAAGAACAUAUGUGUAAGUAACUGUGCACAUCUUGACGGUACCUAAUCAGAAAGCCACGGCUAACUACGUG
rnacentral:rRNA from 1 species